CCAGGACACGCUGGAGCGACUAUGUCGCCCAGCUGGCCUGGGAACGCCUUGGGAUCCUCCCAGAAGAGCUGGAGGAAGUGUCCGGGGUGAGGGAAGUCUGGUUGUCCCUGCUCAGACAGCUGCCCCUGCGACCCGGUACUGGAUAAGUGGAAGAAGAUGGAUGGAUGGAUGGAUCUUUGAGAACUCUGGAUAAAUGGAGGGGCAUUGCUGCAGCUCGUGAGAAAUGCUGAUAGAGGAAGCUGACAAACGGCUUUCUUCUUCAUCCUUCCUCCCUGCUGUUCAUGCAGUUAUCCACAACUGGGCCAGUCUUUCCCAGUGCGCUCCCUGCCAGGACACAUGGAGAGGAAGUUUGCCGUGGUGCAGUGGAGUGAAGAGGAGGAUUUUGGGAAGCUCAGAGAGAUAAAAACUGAUGCCAUAAGGGGGUAUGAUGAUUCCAAGAUGGACCACGAUGGGAAUCCCAUUUCCAACUACUCAGCUGUUAUUGAAUGGUGCCAUGGGAUAAAAACAAUGAGGAGGGCGGCACCAUUACAGAGGCACCGUCAUCUUUGUUAGUGCUACUCGUUUUGAGACAACUCGUAAACUUAAUUCACUGCUGAAGGAAGACGAACCUGCAGCGCUGACAAAGAGGGUGUCAGUGGCCCCCCCAAAAUAUGGGGAUGAUUCAGAUGGCUCAACCGAUACCAAGACUCAGUCAUUGCAUGUUAAGGCAAUGUUAAUUUACUUUUAGACCAUAUUUUCCAGUAGUAAAGUAAAUAUAAUGUGUAAGGGGUAGGCACUACUGUGUAAUAGGCAAUACAUCUAGCUAGAAAAGAAAAUCUGUAAAGAUUACUGAUUCUUGAUGUUGAUUCUGUUGUACAGUACGGCUGCUCAACUCUAGCAACAACCAUGUUUGUUUUUUUGGUUUUCUAUCUGAUGAUUCUAACUUUUUUUCUCUUGACACCCAGAAGUCAAAGGUUACCAUGAAGACAGACCACACAGAAGAGUCUCUUAAGCAAUACGGUCAAUCACAGUCUUCUCCAGAUAAUCAGUGCAAUCUGAGGAAGACUGUGGUUGAAUUAAAGCAGGAGAUCGAGGACCUGAAAGCAGAGAAGGCUAAAUUGAAGGAGAUGGUUCUUUAAGGAUUCCACCAGAGCAUGAGGAAUAUACUUGAUUCGGCUGCAUCUCCUAAGAGAUCCAGGUUGGAGCUUACCACACCACCACUGGUGCUCCCAGGUUCUCCGCAGUCCAGGUCCAGUUCUCCAUCUGCCACUUCACUGCUGUCCGUGCCCAGUUCUACGCUGUCCAGUUCCAUGUCUGCGUCUGUCACUCCAUCACUGACUGUCUCCCAGUCUUCUAAGGUUGAGAUCCAUCCUGGGCUGGAGUCAUGGUUGAGAAACUGGCAUGGGCCUAUGCCCUCAAUGCAAAUUUGGCCUCAGUAUUUGUAAGACAUUUGCUCACCGCAGUCUUCCCUGUAGAAGUUCUACAGGGAGAGCAGUCUUU